rnacentral:rRNA from 1 species
UUGGAGGGCAAGUCUGGUGCCAGCAGCCGCGGUAAUUCCAGCUCCAAUAGCGUAUGUUAAAGUUGUUGCAGUUAAAAAGCUCGUAGUUGAAUUUCGGAGUUUGUCGGUCGGUCGGGCUUCACUGUCCGCACUGGCCUGACGGAUUCCUACCUUCUGAAUAACCAGCAUGCUAUUAAGUUAGUGCGUUGGGGAAGCAGAGCUAUUACCUCGAAAAAAUUAGAGUGCUUAAAGCAGGCUUAUGCUUGAAUAGAUUAGCAUGGAAUAAUAAAAUAGGACGGCAUGGUUCUAUUUUGUUGGUUUCUAGGAUCACCGUAAUGAUUAAUAGGGAUAGUUGGGGGCAUUAGUAUUCAAUUGUCAGAGGUGAAAUUCUUGGAUUUAUUGAAGACUAACUUCUGCGAAAGCAUUUGCCAAGGAUGUUUUCAUUAAUCAAGAACGAAAGUUAGGGGAUCGAAGACGAUCAGAUACCGUCGUAGUCUUAACCAUAAACUAUGCCGACUAGGGAUCGGACGAUGUUAAUUUUUUAAUGACUCGUUCGGCGCCUUACGGGAAAC